GAUGAACGCUGGCGGUAUGCCUAACACAUGCAAGUCGAACGGUCGCUUCGGUGAUAUUGUCGGACGGGUGAGGAACGCGUGAGAAUCUGUCUUCAGGGCGGGGACAACUGUUAGAAAUGACUGCUAAUACCGGAUGUUCGUUUGGGUGAAAGAUUUAUUUCAUGAACAAGUGCUCGCGUCAGAUUAGAUAGUAGGUGGUGUAAGAGACUACCUAGGCGCCGAUCUGUAGCUGGUCUGAGAGGACGAUCAGCCACACUGGAACUGAGACACGGUCCAGACUCCUACGGGAGGCAGCAGUGGGGGAUGUUGCGCAAUGGGCGAAAGGCUGAAGGAGCAAUACCGCGUGAGGGACGAAGGCUUUUAGGUCGUAAACCUCUUUUAUCAAGGAAGAUGAUGACGGUACUUGAGGAAUAAGCAUCGGCUAACUCUGUG
rnacentral:rRNA from 1 species